GGGGCCUUAGCUCAGCUGGGAGAGCGCCUGCUUUGCAAGCAGGAAGUCAGCGGUUCGAGUCCGCUAGGCUCCACCA
rnacentral:tRNA from 1 species